rnacentral:sRNA from 1 species
UGAGCUGAGGUUGUGCCACUGCACUCCAGCCUGAGCGACAGAGUGAGGCUCCAUCUAUAAAAUAAAAAGUAAUAAUAAUGCAAACGCUUGAGCCAGAUCGAGGAUCUUCUACUUUCAGACUUUUCUUAUUUUUUCCAGACACAGUAGCAUAAAAAUAUCACUUCUGUGUGUUUUGCUCGGUUCUGAACCUAGAUGGAGUGUUUGAUGAUGUCUCUCUGAACCUCAGAGACGUCUCUUAGGCUGACCUUCACCCAGGCGAGAAGCACUCCCUCAGCAGAGCCAGCCCACGUGCACUCGCCGAGCUCCAGGCCUGGCGCUGGCUACCUGCCUCCAGAGCUUUUUCUUCAGGAACGCUCCUUUUCUGUGUGAAUUGUGGUGGUUUUGGACUCCAUGAUUAAGGUGUUCACAUUCACACACAAUCCCCAUCAGUUGCACGUCUUCGAAACCUGCUAUAACCCCAAAGGCCUCUGUGUCCUUUGUCCCAAUAGUAACAACUCCCUCCUGGCCUUUCCGGGCACGCACACGGGCCAUGUGCAGCUCGUGGACCUGGCCAGCACGGAGAAGCCACCUGUGGACAUUCCUGCACAUGAGGGUGUCCUGAGCUGCAUUGCACUCAACCUGCAGGGAACAAGAAUUGCAACUGCAUCCGAGAAAGGGACGCUUAUAAGAAUAUUUGAUACUUCAUCAGGGCAUUUAAUCCAGGAACUGCGAAGAGGAUCUCAAGCAGCCAAUAUUUACUGCAUCAACUUCAAUCAGGAUGCGUCCCUCAUCUGCGUAUCCAGCG